rnacentral:rRNA from 1 species
CCCUUAGAUGUCCGGGGCCGCACGCGCGCUACACUGAAGGAAUCAGCGUGGCUUUCUCCCUGACCCGAAAGGGUUGGGAAACCCGUUGAAUCUCCUUCGUGAUAGGGAUUGGGGCUUGAAAUUGUUCCCCAUGAACGAGGAAUUCCCAGUAAGCGCGAGUCAUAAGCUCGCGUUGAUUACGUCCCUGCCCUUUGUACACACCGCCCGUCGCUACUACCGAUUGAACGGUUUAGUGAGUGCCUCGGAUUGGUCUCGGCCCGCUCUUUACCGGGCGGCGCCGUUGGUCGAGAAGACGCUCGAACUUGAUCGUUUAGAGGAAGUAAAAGUCGUAACA